CCUACGGGUGGCAGCAGUGAGGAAUAUUGGUCAAUGGGCGCGAGCCUGAACCAGCCAAGUAGCGUGAAGGAUGACUGCUCUACGGGUUGUAAACUUCUUUUAUAAAGGAGUAAAGUGAGGCUCGUGUGCCUUUUUGUAUGUACUUUCUGCAUAAGGAUCGGCUAAGUCCGUGCCAGCAGCCGCGGUAAUACGGAGGGUCCGAGCGUUAUCCGGAUUUAUUGGGUUUAAAGGGAGCGUAGAUGGGGUGGUAAGUCAGUUGUGAAAGUUUGCGGCUCAACCGAGAAAUUGCAAUUGAAACUAGCGGUCUUGAGUACUGUAGAGGAAGGCGGAAUUCGUGGUGUAGCGGUGAAAUGCGUAGAUAUUAGGAGGAACACCAGUGGCGAAGGCGGCUUACUAAACAGCAACUGACGUGGAGGCUCGAAAGUGUGGGGAUCAAACAGGAUUAGAUACCCGAGUAGUC
rnacentral:rRNA from 1 species